rnacentral:rRNA from 1 species
GACGAACGCUGGCGGCGUGCUUAACACAUGCAAGUCGAACGGAAAGGCCCUGCUUUUGUGGGGUGCUCGAGUGGCGAACGGGUGAGUAACACGUGAGUAACCUGCCCUUGACUUUGGGAUAACUUCAGGAAACUGGGGCUAAUACCGGAUAGGAGCUCCUGCUGCAUGGUGGGGGUUGGAAAGUUUCGGCGGUUGGGGAUGGACUCGCGGCUUAUCAGCUUGUUGGUGGGGUAGUGGCUUACCAAGGCUUUGACGGGUAGCCGGCCUGAGAGGGUGACCGGCCACAUUGGGACUGAGAUACGGCCCAGACUCCUACGGGAGGCAGCAGUGCGGAAUAUUGCACAAUGGGCGGAAGCCUGAUGCAGCAACGCUGCGUGCGGGAUGACGGCCUUCGGGUUGUAAACCGCUUUCGCCUGUGACGAAGCGUGAGUGACGGUAAUGGGUAAAGAAGCACCGGCUAACUACGUG